GAGAAGUCAAUAAGUAAGAAUUUUUUACUUAUUGCUUCUCAAAAGUCCUUUUGAGUGAAAAGUAAUCCCAAACAUACCCAUACAGUCAAUAGAACCUUUAACCUUUUUGUGAAUACCCACAAAUUGAUUUCUUCCAUAGCCUAUUUACCUUGGUCGCUCUUAUCUUCAUAUUCUUCGGAUACCAAAACCCUAGAAGGGGAAAAUUUCUAAUCUGCUGUUAAUAGAACCUCCAUCUUCGGUGUCAAGCAAGAUUUCAUCGAUAAAUGAAAGGAACUAAGCAGCUCGGUGUAUUAGAAUCUAGUGAGACACUAAUUCAUUUGAACUUGCAUGCUAUAUGGGCAUAGAGCUUGGAAAGGUUGACAUAAAAUGUUUUGGUGAUGGAGAGAUAUAUGUCCAAUUGUGCGAGAGCGAUAAGAGGGUUUGAUAAUGAUAAAUUCCUGUCGCAAAGCAUCUGCUAAAACCAUUACUGCGGUUAGCCACCGUGGCAUUUUCAAGACCAGAUAAUUUGAAUAAUUGUAUUUGCAUAAACAUCAAACAACUGAAGCAACCGGAUGCAAACCUAAGCAGAGCACUACGUUUAGUCUUUUAAUUUUGACACAUGUUUCCAUAAUUCAACCGAAUUUACUGCAAACCUUAACCCAUUGUUUAAUUUUUUACUUCUAUCUUGAUAUAAUGACAAAUAAUGGCAGUUAGCUUGUGUUUGUUUAUUAUUGAACAUAAAUGUCUUCAUCGGAUCCAUCUUUCUUCAGAUUUACUAGACCUUACUUUAAGUUGACAUUUGCAUAUAGGAAGUAUAUGUUAAUGUAUUGGAAAAUGAGGAAAGCGAAUGACUAGCUACAACAUACUUAAAACAAAAAUAAAGAACGAAUAAUCUCUACAACAAAACUUAGCUUAACUGACACAUAGUACCAGAUUAUUUAUUACUGCUAAAAGUUGUGUAAUAGACUGUGUGGUUAUGGUUGUUAAACAUGCAACUUAUAUUUAUUCUCUUUCAUUGAUGGUUCAGACUCAAGGGCGAGAAUCUAUUGCAUGUAAACCGAAGCAGGAGCAGAUCGAGUUCUUGCUUGUGUUCUUCAUUUAGGGCAAUCGAUGUGCUAUUUUGACCUUCCAGUUGAUCAUGUUCAUGGUCAGGUAAUGGGUAUGAUCUAUUUGAUAGUUUCUAUAAAUAUAGUCAUGCAACACAAAGUAUAAGAUAAUAGAAAGUCACCUUGGUUAAAUCUGCAUCGAUGUUAACUUGCCUACCGAGUUAUCACAUCUAUGGUUUUAUGUCGUAAAAUGUAAAAAUAUGUUUUUACAAAUGUUUUAUUGAAUUAGAGAAAAAUGCCCGGAUAGUCCCUGUGGUUUUGCAUUUUUUCACCUAUACUCCCCAACUUUCUAAAAUUACCUGAAUAGUCCCCAACUUUUCAUUUUUUGUUCCCGGAUAGUCCCUGGGUCUAACUUCAGUUUGUUUUCUCUGUUAAGUGGGUGUGAAAUGACAAAAAUACCCUUUCCUUUAAAAGGCCAAACCACAGGGACUAUCCGGGCAUCUUCUACAUUUUUAGAGAAAAAAAAACCCCACCACCACACUUUCCGGCGAACUUUUCCGGCGAAAUUACUUUCCGGCGACUUUAAAUCUUGAACGCGAGUUAUUCCGGCACCGCCGCCUUUCCGGUGAACUGACUUCGACCACAAAUACAAAAGUGUUGAUUUCUCGUUCCCUUCGUUACCAGAUGAAAACGAUGACAUGACUGAUCAACAUAAUUCUCAACUCAGGUUUCAGUUAAUAAGAGUGCAAGCAAGAGGCUAUGGGAAAAUUGCAAAUGGCUUGAAAUGUUCGAAGGUGUUCGUGUUGUCAUCUUCUGUGUUUCGUUGAGUGAUUUUGAUGAGUAUGCCAUUGAUGUAGAUGGGAAUUUAGUCAACAAAAUGUUGCUAAAUAAGAAGUUUUCCACAAGCAUUGUGACACACCCGACUUAUGAUCAAAUGGAGUUUCUUCUGGUACUAAACAAAUUCGAUGUGUUUGAGGAGAAACUCGAACGGGUUCCUUUAACUUGCUGUGAUUGGUUCAGCGACUUCCAGCCGAUAGUUAGCCGAAACAGCCAGAAUAAAAACAUUAGCAGCAACAACAUUAAUCAUAGCCCUUCAAUGGGACUAAUGGCUUCACAUUACGUCGCUGUGCAGUUCAAGAAGCUAUCGAUCACUGAGCGUAAGCUAUUUGUUUCAGUGGUUAAGGGAUUGGAACAAAACAGUGUGGAUCAAACACUCGAGUAUGCAAAGGAGGUACUUAUCUGGGAUGAAGAAAAACCUACCUUUAACUUCAAUGAAUACGCAAUUUAUAGCACGGAUACAGGUUCUAAUUCCGAAUGAUCAUCCUCGGAUUAAAAAGGAGUAAGACAACAUUGUACAGAAAGACGAGAACAACCAUGUGUUUUUUUCAUCAAUUUAGUUUGAUUUGUAGGCGAUUGGUUGGUUUAGUUGUAUUAUAUGAUUUCAAAACGAUUCGGAUUGAUUUAGAUAAUACCAAUGUAUGUAACCCGUAUUGUUUGUUUGUAUGACUAGCAAGUGAAAUCUUGAUCAACAAAUACUUUAAUAGUAGAUACAAAAAUAGCAAUCUUGAUCAAA